CACGCGACUUUUUGAGUUAAUCCGAAGGUUGUGUAUGAACCUCUGGGGUCUACGAGGUUACGUGGAACAUAGAACUACUUUUUUUUGUCAGAUCGCGGAAGGAUAUUGCACCAUUGAGUGCGUCACAGCGCCCCACUCCUUCCUACCUCUGCCUCCCCUUCCCCCCCGCGUGCACGGGGUUUCCCGUCCGGUCCCUGCUGCAGCGUGGGGCGGGAGGGCGCAAUGGCGGCGCCGGCUUGGCCGGGCUGCGGGGAUAGCGAGCGGCCCUGCGGCUGGGGCGUCAUAGCGACCUUUUCGUGGCCGCGUUUUCCCCACUGUGUUGGUUGUUUUUGAAGCCCCGGAGUCGGGGGGUGACAGAAGAGAGAAAGAGGCUUCCUCGGGCGGGGGCCAGCGGCCGCGCAUCCGCCCCAUCCGCACACAGAAAUGGCUCCAGCCUCCUCCUCCUCCUCCCUGACAAGCGAAACACACCCCGAGCUGUCCCCCUGCGCUCCCAGAGUCGGGGCAGCGUUGGUAACUCCCGCAGAGGCCCUGAGGCGAAGGGGGCAGAUGGAGGCGCCUCUGAGGGGGCCCUGGCCCCGGGCUCACACCCAGUGCCCGCCGGUGGGCCCAGGGCUGAAUCCCACAAACCUGUCCCGAGGCGCUAAGGGUGGAUCAUUCCUGAAGGGGAUGCAGGAGUAUUUGUAGGAGACAGGUUAGGUGGUCCUCGGGGUGCAGCCGAAAGCACGGUGAUCUGGUGUAGGUCUCAGUACAGCGGUGUCCACGAAAAACCUGUCAAGAAUGAUUUAAAGUGUUAGAGAUGCAUAUUCUUCUUGUGACUGAGUCUGAAUUGUGUGCCCAUGAAGCUGAAGUGCCAAGUGAGCUGCUAAAUGUAACUGCUCUGGUUUUUGGAGCUUCUGUUUAGUGCUAGGAAGCUUCUGUGGGCCAGUCCUUAGCCCCAGCUGUUUGUGCUUCAACCCAUCCCAGAACAUGAUUCUAUAUUAUUUUGUAUGCCAACUGAAUAUCACCAGAUGAGACAAAAAUGAACAGAAGGAAGGAGAAUGAAGUGAGAACUGUAAAGGACUGCUGCCUCAGAACUGCUGUUGCCAUAGAGCUGCUAACGAAGAAAAAAACUGCAGCAUGGAUUUCUUGUGCUGUUGAAGGCAGUACUAAGAAGCUCCAUCAAAAACUGGCCUGUUUUUUCUGUUGCCAUACUGAGACUUCUGGACGAUGGAUGUGUGCCUGGAUACCAAUAUCUUAGUCAAGCAGCUAAAAGCUACCAGGUGGAUGGAUUGAUCCUUAACUACCAGGCAACUAGUGACAGGGAAAUAAGGAAUUCACUCAGAUGUGGAAAAAGGACAUAGCUCAAGGUGCACUGCUGGCUGGUGGUCUGUAGCUGCUAUGUGAGUACCUGCUUCUCCUCCAGCUCAAUAAAAUUUAGAAAAGAUUACUAUCACCUUUACAUAAUUUCAGACUAAUACUCAGAAAGGGACUGACUGGCCUAAUACCCAUGUAAUCUAGGUAUGGAAAAAAGUUACAUAAAACUUCCUUCUCAUUCUCAGCCUGAGCAGUUUUGUGUGCUUUUUGGCUGUAAUAGCCUUCAUAGACUCCUUUAGAGAAUUGCUGGUAAAUUUUGUAUUUAAUAAAAUAAUGCAGUACCUAGUAAGAUUUAUACCUUUCAGGGAUAUGCCAAUAUCCUCUCCUAAGCAGAAAGGAUGAGAUGUUGUCUCAUUGUAUUCAAAUUUUUUUAUUCAGGAUAGUUUAAGACAAUCUUAAAUGACAGUAAUUGCUUGUCAGGGAGUGGCUGAAGAUGGAAUACAAAAUUCAAACACUGAAUAAGAAAAUACAAAAAUGCAAAAUGAGUCCAAAACUACAAGGUCAGACUCAGAUGAGGAAUUUUCCAAAUCCAGGUUGAUGUGAAGAUUGGAUUAGCUUCUCACAGAAAAGGUGCUGGCUGUAUAAUUGACUUGGGGGCUGGAAACUAGAUGAUCAUUAAGGUCUUUGCAACCCAAAGCAUUCAAUGAUUCUAUGACUUGGAUUUACAUCUUUGUCUGUGAAGGGAAUUUUCACUUAUUUUUUUGAGAAACCUUCAGAAAUACAGUGAAUUAUCAUCUUUAACAGUUACCUUAUUUCAUUAAUCUUUAUUUAAAAAAAGAAUCCACCUCUUAGCAUGUCUGUUGUCUGAGAAACCAUGUUUUAAAAUGGACUGAGCUGAAGCAGUAGAUUUCAUUCACAGUUAGUUCAGGACACACCUAACAGUUCUCUGGUGAUAGAUAAGCAAAAUGGAGCAUCUUAAAAUAUUAGAACCAAGGUCACCCAAAAACAUCAUGAGUAGGAUUAAAAUGUUUAAAACCAGUUCCCCCCUCUUGUGGAAGUUGUUGCCACAGAAAAAGAUCUGGAUGCAGAUAUGGUUAUUGGGGGCAGAAAUUGCUUAGAAAAGUUCAUGGGCAGAAGGUGCUUACCUGGAUAUGAAAAGGACUCAGCAGAAGAUUACCCUUUAAAGUCCCUGGUACAAUGAUUCUGGGUGUUGGAAAAGUACAAGAGGAAUGGUUUGCAGAGAGAGGCAGGCCAUAAGCUUCUUCUAACCACAAUUGUCUUUUGCCACUGGGAGAGAUGGAUACUGGGAUGGAUGUACAACAGUUCUGAUGAAAAAGGGAAUUUCUUUUGGUUUGGUUUUACAAUAUUUCAUUAUAAUUACUCAGAAACUUUUACAGAAGAUGGAAAAAAAAGCAGUGAAAUAAAUGUUGUGUAAAUAAUCAAAGACAUUUGAAAUAUAUCUCAUCAGUUAAAAAUAAAAUUCCCAUUAUUGUUGUGUUCCAAAUUGCACCUCAGUUCAUUUAUUACAAUACUGGUUAGUUUUCUUAAAUGGGCAGUGAUACUGAAGAAAGGCAUUGGAUUAGGUGAUUUAUAACAUAAUUCCCUUAGCUGUCUGUUGUUUGCAGAUUGUUCUUUUUUUCCUCUUCUGUUCUAGGUUGUUCAUUGUGACACUCAUCAUUUUUUUGACCAUAGCUUAUGUAUAUUUUAUGUAUGUAAUUGAAACAGUAUGAAUAAACAGUGGAAAUGUGCAAUUCCUGCAAAAUUGACUGUGGAAGUAAAGUUAUAUUCUGUUCCCACUCUAGAGAGCUUUGUCCUUGAUUUUUUUGGAAAAGAAAGAUUGGACUCUAUUA